rnacentral:lncRNA from 1 species
AGUUUAUUCUAAAAACUAAUAUGGAAAUUCAAAGGACCUAAUAUAGCCAAAACAACUCUUUAAAUGGUGAAUGAUGAUGGAGGACUUACACUAACUGAUUUCAAGAAUUAUCCUAAAGCUACAGUAAUCAAAGCUGUGUGAUAUUGCUCUCAAGAUAGAUAAUGAAAAUCCCAGUGACAUACGAUUUACCCAUGUAACAAACCUGUACAUUAGCCCUCUCUGCCUAAAAUAAAAGUUUGAAAUAAAAAUAAAAUAAAAUAAAACUUGAAAAAGGACUUGAAUCCUUUUUUGACUCAAAUUUUUUGAAAACCAUUUGGCAGUAUUUAUAAAAACUAAAUAUUAUGUCUACCCUAUUAUUGAGCAAGUCCACAUCUCAUUAUAUACCCAAAAGAAAUGUUUCCAUAGUUCAACCAAAAUACGUGUUCACAAAUGUUCAUAGAAGCUUUAUUAAUAAUAAGCAAAAACUUGAAACUAACUGUUCAUUAACAGGAUAAAUAAUUGUAUACACAUAAUGGGAUACUACAUAGAGACAAAAUAAUAACGUUAAUCUCUGCAUACAUGCAACAAUACAGAUGAGUAUCACAGCCUUUAUGUUGGGGAAAAGAAACCAGAAACAGUACAGUACAUGUUGAUAUGAACAGUGGCUAGCUGUGGGAGUGGGCGUUGAGAGAGGGUAGUGUUCACUGGGAAUGAACAAGAGAAAACCUUCUAAGGUGGUUGAAAGCAUUUAACAUCUUAAUCCAGGUUGUGGUUACACAGGCACAUACAUAUGAAAAAGUUCAAUGAGCUAUAUACUUAAAAUCUGUACACUUUACUGUAAGUUAGCCUAUAACAUUUUAUAAAGGUAGUGUCUAUUUUAUUUUAUUACUGAUAUUGGACUGCAUACCCACCACACCCACCCCACUCCCAAAUUAUAGGUCCCUUGGAUUCAGUGGUCUAUUCAAUCCCAUCUAAACCACAAUCCCGCCACUCUACGCUUAUUCUUUUCAUUUCACUAACAUUGAACAGAAGCACUGUAGUGCAAACUAAACAUUUCUCCAAAUUUCCCUUAUUUACCAGUAGAAGGGGACUUCCCUACAGAAAAGUUCCUAAGCAUUUCACUUAUCACUGCUUCUCAAAGAAAGUUUACCACUCCUGGUGGGUUUAGAUUCUUUAUAUACAGCUAUAUUCCCCUUUACAUAAUAUUGGGGAUGUAUUAGCUUAUCUGGAGAGCACCAUUGCUUCACCACAUGUCCCAUUAUUAAAAUAUCACGGCUUUCUGCAAGGCCUGAAAAUUUAAUUAUCAAUUGCCUCUUCUAAUAAGCAACUGCGGCCGGGCACAGUGGCUCACACCUGUAAUCCCAGCACUUUGGGAGGCCGAGGCGGGUGGAUCAUGAGGUCAGGAGUUUGAGACCAGCCUAGCCAAGAGACCAGCCUGGCCAAUAUGGUGAAACUCCGUCUCUACUAAAAAUAUAAAAAUUAGCCGAGCGUGGUGAUGGGCACCUUUAAUCCCAGAUACUUGGGAGGCUGAGGCAGGAAAAUUGCUUGAACCCAGGAGGCAGAGGCUGCAGUGAGCCAAAGAUUGCGCCAUUGCACUCCAGCCUAGGUGACAGAGCAAGACUCUGACUCAAUAUAAAUAAAUAAAUAAAUAAAUAAAUAAAUAAAUAAAUAAAUAAAUAAAUAAGGAACUGCUUGGUGCUGCCCUGAUAUGUUCCCCAAACUAUUUUCUGCUCUGUUACUUCCUCUAGACCAGUAACAUCCAUUAGAAAAUAAUGCAAAUCAUGUAUGUAAUUUUAAAUUUUCUAGUACAUAAAAAACUGAACAGAAAUUAUUUUAAUGAUAUAUUUUAUUUAACAUAAUAUAUCCAAAAUGUUAUUUCAACAUAUAAUUAAUAUAAAAAUUAAUCAAUGGGGGCCAGGCACAGUGGCUUAAGCCUGUAAUCCUAGCACUUUGGGAGGCCGAGGCGGGUGGAUUGCCUGAGCUCAAGAGUUUCAGACCAGCCUGGGCAACAUGGUGAAACCCCGUCUCUACUAAAAUACCAAAAAAAAAAAAAAAAAAAUCAAUGGGAUGUUUUAUAUUUUUUAUAAUAAUUCUUCAAAGAUCUAAUGUGCAUUUUAUACUUACAUUGCACACUUAGAGUAUGUAUCAGUAUGGAUGAUCACUUUUCAAGUGUUCAAUAGACAUGCAUGGCUAGUCACUACCAUAUUGGAUAGCACAGCUCCCAAUCAUCUUGAACUACGUACUUCUCCAUAAGACCUCUAACACCCAAGUUAACCCUUGAAAUGAAACUCCAGAUGCUGUCUCUGUUGGUCUUAAAAUAACAUGACACCUCCACCCAACAUCUUUACAUCCCUUAAAAUUUUAUAUCUCUCCCUUGGAAGUUCUAAACCACUAAACUAGUUCUAAACCCUAGGGCUCCACUCACCAAGUCAGUGGGCCCCACGCUUACUUCUAUAUGAAACCUAACAUACUUCCCACUUACACAUUAUAAAAUUCAUCAAACACUGAUCUUGUCAUUUUGCCAAGACCACCUCAACAAAACGUUUCACCUCCUACGUUCUUGCAAAAAGUGAUACAUUAAAAUUAUCCUAUGAAAAAUAGCAUGAAAUUACUGUGAAUAUAUUUAGAACUUAAAUUUGUUAGGUCAACUAGCAUGUGAAAUGAAAUCUUCCAAAAAGAAAUGAGACAAUAAAGAAUAGCAUAAAGGAAAACAAUGUGGAUUGGGAUUCAAGCUGGGAUUCCAGUCCCAGGUCUGCCACUAGGUAAUUUUAUGUUCCUGGGCAAAUAUACAAAUACUUCUGAGUCUGCAAUUUGUGGUAUAUUAUAUAAAGGGGAAAGAUAAAAUUAUUCCUAAGCCUCAUUCGACAUUGGAUAUCCUAUAGGUGUAGAAACUUCUUCAUAAAACAAGGAAGAGAUGGGGGUGAUGGUGGGGAAGAAUAAAUCCACUCAGAAAAGAGAGUUAAAAUUUUCUCUAUGUAUAGGAUGGAAAGCACUGGAAGCUUCGAUUCCUCACUGAAAAAAAAUCAUCACAAAAGCAAUCUGAUUU